rnacentral:rRNA from 1 species
UGUCCUACGGGACGCAGCAGUGGGGAAUAUUGGACAAUGGGGGGAACCCUGAUCCAGCGACGCCGCGUGAGUGAAGAAGUAUUUCGGUAUGUAAAGCUCUAUCAGCAGGGAAGAAAGAAAUGACGGUACCUGACUAAGAAGCCCCGGCUAACUACGUGCCAGCAGCCGCGGUAAUACGGAGGAUGCGAGCGUUAUCCGGAUUUAUUGGGUUUAAAGGGUGCGCAGGCGGCACGGCAAGCCGGCGGUCAAAUCGCGGGGCUCAACCCCGCCCCGCCGUCGGAACUGCC